UUCUGGUUCUGGUUCUGCUUCUUCUUCUCUCACAUCUCAUCUGAUUUGACUGAAGCAAGUUCUUCUCUCGCAUCUCGGUGUCUCUUUUCUCCAACUUUCAUUGCUGAUGUUCUUAGAUGUCAAACAAAGUCUAGAUUAUAACUUUAUGCCUUUAUCGUAAAGUUAAGCAACCAUAUGAAUUCAAGACUACAUGAAAGAUGAAAGGAAAUUCAUGUUAUGACAACUUUUGAUAUCCAUUAUGAAGCAGGUUCUUAUGGCUCCUUCCUUGCAGAAUUCUUUUUUUAAUAUUGGUGCACUUAUACAGGAGGACUUGUGGGAACUUUUUCGAUACAAGUUGGCAGCAAAGCUAGUGCUUUCAAAAGAUAAUACACAACAAUGUUUUAAAUUAUUUAAAGCAAUAAAAAAUAGAGCUAUUGGAUUUUUUUUUUUUUUUUUUCAUUCAGCCUCUCAAAUGACAAUGCUUUGUAUAAGUGUGAAUGUGAGUCUUUAUCUAUUAGCAAACAGGAGCAUUGUACACAUCAUCUAGAUAAUACACAACCUUCAAUUUUGAGUUUUGACAUUUGUAGUUUGUAAUAAGAUAAAAGUGUAGGUGCGAUAACCUUCUCUGUCUAUGGUA